CCUACGGGUGGCAGCAGUGGGGAAUAUUGCGCAAUGGGCGAAAGCCUGACGCAGCGACGCCGCGUGAGGGAUGAAGGUCUUCGGAUUGUAAACCUCUGUCAGCAGGGAAGAACGGUCACUGUGCUAAUCAGCAGUGAAUUGACGGUACCUGCACAGGAACCACCGGCUAACUCCGUGCCAGCAGCCGCGGUAAUACGGAGGGGGCGAGCGUUAAUCGGAAUUACUGGGCGUAAAGGGCGCGUAGGCGGUAUUUCAAGCCAAGGGUGAAAUCCCCGCGCUCAACGUGGGAACUGCCUUUGAAACUGGGAAACUAGAGUGUGUGAGAGGGUAGUGGAAUUCCGGGUGUAGGGGUGAAAUCCGUAGAUAUCUGGAGGAACAUCAGUGGCGAAGGCGACUAUCUGGCACAUAACUGACGCUGAGGAGCGAAAGCGUGGGUAGCAAACAGGAUUAGAUACCCGGGUAGUC
rnacentral:rRNA from 1 species